rnacentral:rRNA from 1 species
AUCCGCCAUGCCGCGUGAUGUGAAGAAGGCCUUCGGGUUGUAAAGCACUUUCAGCAGGGAGGAAGGCUUACCCCUAAUACGGGUGAGUACUUGACGUUACCUGCASAAGAAGCACCGGCUAAUUUCGUGCCAGCAGCCGCGGUAAUACKAAAGGUGCAAGCGUUAAUCGGAAUUACUGGGCGUAAAGCGCGCGUAGGCGGUGUGUUAAGUCGGAUGUGAAAGCCCAGGGCUCAACCUUGGAAUUGCAUCCGAUACUGGCACGCUAGAGUGCAGUARAGGGAGGUGGAAUUUCCGGUGUAGCGGUGAAAUGCGUARAGAUCGGAAGGAACACCAGUGGCGAAGGCGGCCUCCUGGACUGACACUGACGCUGAGGUGCGAAAGCGUGSGGAGCAAACAGGAUUAGAUACCCUGGUAGUCCACGCUGUAAACGAUGUCUACUAGCCGUCGGGGUCCUUAGUGACUUUGGUGGCGCAGCUAACGCGAUAAGUAGACCGCCUGGGGAGUACGGCCGCAAGGUUAAAACUCAAAUGAAUUGACGGGGGCCCGCACAAGCGGUGGAGCAUGUGGUUUAAUUCKAUGCARCGCGAAGAACCUUACCARGWCUUGACAUCCUCGGAACUUGGCASARAUGCCUUGGUGCCUUCGGGAGCCGAGUGACAGGUGCUGCAUGGCCGUCGUCAGCUCGUGUCGUGAGAUGUUGGGUUAAGUCCCGUAACGAGCGCAACCCUUGUCCUUAGUUGCCAGCACGUCAUGNUGGGAACUCUAAGGAGACUGCCGGUGACAA